rnacentral:rRNA from 1 species
UACGAAGGGGGCUAGCGUUGCUCGGAAUUACUGGGCGUAAAGGGCGCGUAGGCGGCGGAUCAAGUCAGGCGUGAAAUUCCUGGGCUUAACCUGGGGGCUGCGCUUGAGACUGAUGUGCUUGAGGAUGGCAGAGGCUCGUGGAAUUCCCAGUGUAGAGGUGAAAUGCGUAGAGAUCGGGAGGAACAUCAGUGGCGAAGGCGGCCAUCUGGGACAACACUGACGCUGAGGCACGAAAGCGUGGGGAGCAAACAGG